rnacentral:pre_miRNA from 1 species
UAGAAGUAUCCUUAAAGCUCAGGAGGGAUAGCGCCAUGGCUCAUGGGUUUUGAAUUUGAAUAAUUUUCUUCCUCUUCGAUUACUACUACUACCAUUGCGCUAUCUAUCCUGAGUUUCAUGGCUUCUUCUU